rnacentral:ribozyme from 1 species
CAAAUGUGAAGCACAAAAGGAGUGGGGAGAGAGGGAGGAGAAAGAGGAGAGAAGGAAGGUAGUCGGGUUUUCAUUUUCAUUUUUUUUAUUCUUUUUUCUAUUCAUUUUCACCUU